GAUGAAGAACGUAGUGAAAUGCGAUACGUAAUGUGAAUUGCAGAAUUCAGUGAAUCAUCGAGUCUUUGAACGCACAUUGCGCCCCCUGGUAUUCCGGGGGGCAUGCCUGUCCGAGCGUCAUUGCUGCCCUCAAGCACGGCUUGUGUGUUGGGCCUCCGCCCCCCGGCUCCCGGGGGGCGGGCCCGAAAGGCAGCGGCGGCACCGCGUCCGGUCCUCGAGCGUAUGGGGCUUCGUCACCCGCUCCGUAGGCCCGGCCGGCGCCCGCCGGCGACCCCCCUCAAUCUUUCCAGGUUGACCUCGGAUCAGGUAGGGAUACCCGCUGAACUUAAGCAUAUCAUAAGCGGAGG
rnacentral:misc_RNA from 1 species